rnacentral:rRNA from 1 species
AGUCGACGAUGAAGCUGGAGCUUGCUCCGGUGGAUUAGUGGCGAACGGGUGAGUAACACGUGAGCAAUCUGCCCUUGACUCUGGGAUAACUGCGGGAAACUGUAGCUAAUACCGGAUACUUUCCUCGGUGGGCAUCCACUGGGGAAGAAAGAAUUUCGGUCAAGGAUGAGCUCGCGACCUAUCAGCUAGUUGGUGAGGUAAUGGCUCACCAAGGCGACGACGGGUAGCCGGCCUGAGAGGGUGACCGGCCACACUGGGACUGAGACACGGCCCAGACUCCUACGGGAGGCAGCAGUGGGGAAUAUUGCACAAUGGGCGCAAGCCUGAUGCAGCAACGCCGCGUGAGGGACGAAGGCCUUCGGGUUGUAAACCUCUUUUAGCAGGGAAGAAGCGAAAGUGACGGUACCUGCAGAAAAAGCACCGGCUAACUACGUGCCAGCAGCCGCGGUAAUACGUAGGGUGCAAGCGUUGUCCGGAAUUAUUGGGCGUAAAGAGCUCGUAGGCGGUUUGUCACGUCUGCUGUGAAAUUUCGAGGCUCAACCUCGAACUUGCAGUGGGUACGGGCAGGCUAGAGUGCGGUAGGGGA